CCAGACUCCUACGGGAGGCAGCAGUGGGGAAUAUUGCACAAUGGGGGAAACCCUGAUGCAGCAACGCCGCGUGAGUGAAGAAGUAUUUCGGUAUGUAAAGCUCUAUCAGCAGGGAAGAAAAUGACAGUACCUGACUAAGAAGCCCCGGCUAACUACGUGCCAGCAGCCGCGGUAAUACGUAGGGGGCAAGCGUUAUCCGGAUUUACUGGGUGUAAAGGGAGCGUAGACGGCAUAGCAAGUCUGAAGUGAAAGCUCAAGGCUCAACCAUGGGACUGCUUUGGAAACUGUUAAGCUAGAGUGCUGGAGAGGUAAGCGGAAUUCCUAGUGUAGCGGUGAAAUGCGUAGAUAUUAGGAAGAACACCAGUGGCGAAGGCGGCUUACUGGACAGUAACUGACGUUGAGGCUCGAAAGCGUGGGGAGCAAACAGGAUUAGAUACCCGAGUAU
rnacentral:rRNA from 1 species